rnacentral:lncRNA from 1 species
CUGAGAGGCCUAGCCUAGAAUACCUGUUUCUAGAAGAACCCCCAGUCCUCAGUGAAUUCUCUUUAGAACCCUUCGGCUGCCAUCCUCCUAUUGGUUUUCAGCAGUGAAGACUUUUUGAAUCGUGUGUCUCUAACCAACUAAAACAAUUUCCAAAACCAACUUUUUUGCUAACCAACAAGUAUCAGUGUGCAGCACAUUGAUACUUUGUAUUUGCAUAAAAUGGGUGUUCGUUUCGAGUUAUUCACAAUGUACUGCACUGGUACUGGUACUAGCUACGCUGUCACAAGAGCUAUGUAUUAUACAAUGUAUUCUAGAAGCUUCUCUUCCCGAAGAGUUGGGUUCUGUCUCUUUUACCUCAUGGGUCAUCUGAGACGCAAAGAGGAAGGAGCAACUCUGUCCUGAACACAUUUAAUAUGUCCUUGGCAUCACCUGAGACAUGUCCUCCCUCCUGUCCUCGCCUUUCCUCUGACAGAUGUGGGGUGGUGACAACAUCGCUACUGCCUAGAUCCGCUCAUGAAAAAACAUUUGUAAGCUUCAUUUAAGAGCCUGGCGAUUUGUCUUACACCUCCUUUAGCUUUUAAAGGAAACUUGGAAUUGAUCGGUGGACCUGUCUUUGAGACGCAGCUUUGUGUGUGUGUGUGUGUGAAUUUAUAAUUAUUUUUUCUCCCCUCGCGUGUCUUUUAGAAUGAUGUCAUAGGUUUGGCAGGAUUUUGUGCAUUUUGAGUGAGAUGUUCUCAGUCUCCUCUCUCUCUCUCUCUCUCUCUCUCUCUCUCUCUCUCUCUCUCUCUCUCUCUGUGUGUGUGGAACAGUAUGUUCCUGGCGAUGCCAGCCACUCUUUUUAACUCCACCAUGUGUUUACGCCAUCGUGCCAGGCCAGGCCUGGGCCAGCCAGGAGAUUUUACACACAAAAAAAAAACACUGCCAUUCUGUUCUUUGCUCUCUCAAACAGCCUUUUCUUUUUGGGUUCCCUCCCCCUUCCUCUCGUCUUCUUCCCCCCCCCCCUUCAUCCCCAUACGUCACCUUUCAUCAGAUCAAAGACAGCAUUGCCGACGAAAUCCGGCAAGAGAUCCUGAGCGAGCUCCUCGCCGCUGUGUCUCCCAGAAGAGCUGUGGUGGUGUCGAGGGAGCAGCCAUGAGCCGUGAGCGGACUGGGGGAUUUGUGAGAGAGCUGAAGAGGAGGAGAAAACAAAAAGGAAAACACAAACUCUUACUGAAGAGGUUUCUGUGCUGAACACUGUUGAAGCCUGCACUGAGGAGAGAUCUCCCCAGCCCGGAGCACCACCACCCCCCCGGUCUCGUCCCUUAUCAGUCGGGGGGACACAGACGCAGACUUCCUUCUUCCACACACCAACGCUGCUGUAUGUGUACGAUGCACCCCUACUGGCAAACACAGUUUCUUGCCUCUGAUCGGAACUGUGACCCCCGCUGUUGGCUGGGACUGGUGCUGGGGGAGGGUCAAGGGGAUGGGGUGGGGGGGGGGGGGGGGGGGGGGUGUGUAUUGGGGAGUGGUACGGGGGUGGUGACCUGGCUGUAUUGAUGGUACAAUGGUAAAUCCUUAUACUUUGCGGGAUGUGCUUAAGUAUGUGCUGUUGGUCCACGUGCAUGUCCGUUUGUCGAAAGGUGAGCAAGUUCGAAGAGAGCGGCUGUCGAGUGUCGAUAUAUACUGUACGUGUGCGUCUGUGUGUGAAUGUGCCUGUGUGUCUGUCUGGAUGCAUACGUGAAACUAUGCAUGUGGUUUUCCAGAUCAGUGUCUACUGCACAAACAGACCCACCCCUCCUAUUUUAAUGCAGCCUCUGUGAGGAACUAACUGUGCAAUACAUUUCACUCGCAACUUGAAUUGACCAAUAGCAACUACUGUUUUUAGGUGUGCCACUUCUGAAGGUUCUACUUAGCCAUGCGUAUUUGUCUCCGCUCGUCGGCUAUAUUUAUGUCUGUAAUAUAUCACGCUCUCCUAACGAGGACAAAGAACUAAAAUAGCCUAAAGCACAUUCCUAAAUAAGUUUUGCCUCUGUAGACAGCACUACUUUAGGUCUUUAUUUUUAAUGUGGUGUAACAUGGAGAAACUAGAGCUAAGUGUUACGAGGAGGAUGUACACAGAGUGUUAUCUCCUCACCUUAGCAAGGGAGAGAGACCACAGGGAUUGUUGCAUCACUGUUGUUUGUGCUGUUGUUAUUGUUGUUAUUGCUGUUGUUGUUCUUGUUGUUUGUCUUAAGUCCUAAAAUGAUUUGUAAUACUAAUUGAUUUGUAUUACCUGUACGUAUGACUGCAGUUUAUGUGCUAUGGAAGCACUAUGUUUUACUUUGCUAAUUUGUCACCUCUGGGAUGCAUGAGGGAUGAUGUCUAAAGCAAAUCAUUAAUAAAGAUUUAUUUAUUUUCA